GCGGGCGUGGCGAAAUUGGUAGACGCGCUGGAUUUAGGUUCCAGUGGGGCAACCCGUGGGGGUUCAAGUCCCUCCGCCCGCACCA
rnacentral:tRNA from 1 species